AGAGUUUGAUCCUGGCUCAGGACGAACGCUGGCGGCGUGCCUAAUACAUGCAAGUCGAGCGCGGGAAGCAGGCAGAUCCUCUUCGGAGGUGACGCCUGUGGAACGAGCGGCGGACGGGUGAGUAACACGUGGGCAACCUGCCUGUAAGACUGGGAUAACCCCGGGAAACCGGGGCUAAUACCGGAUAAUACUUUUCAUUGCAUAACGAGAAGUUGAAAGGCGGCUUUUAGCUGUCACUUACAGAUGGGCCCGCGGCGCAUUAGCUAGUUGGUAAGGUAACGGCUUACCAAGGCGACGAUGCGUAGCCGACCUGAGAGGGUGAUCGGCCACACUGGGACUGAGACACGGCCCAGACUCCUACGGGAGGCAGCAGUAGGGAAUCUUCCGCAAUGGAGGAAGUCUGACGGAGCAACGCCGCGUGAGUGAUGAAGGUUUUCGGAUCGUAAAACUCUGUUGUCAGGGAAGAACAAGUGCCGUUCAAAUAGGGCGGCACCUUGACGGUACCUGACCAGAAAGCCCCGGCUAACUACGUGCCAGCAGCCGCGGUAAUACGUAGGGGGCAAGCGUUGUCCGGAAUUAUUGGGCGUAAAGCGCGCGCAGGCGGUCCUUUAAGUCUGAUGUGAAAGCCCACGGCUUAACCGUGGAGGGCCAUUGGAAACUGGAGGACUUGAGUACAGAAGAGGAGAGUGGAAUUCCACGUGUAGCGGUGAAAUGCGUAGAGAUGUGGAGGAACACCAGUGGCGAAGGCGACUCUCUGGUCUGUAACUGACGCUGAGGUGCGAAAGCGUGGGGAGCGAACAGGAUUAGAUACCCUGGUAGUCCACGCCGUAAACGAUGAGUGCUAGGUGUUAGGGGGUUUCCGCCCCUUAGUGCUGAAGUUAACGCAUUAAGCACUCCGCCUGGGGAGUACGGCCGCAAGGCUG
rnacentral:rRNA from 1 species